rnacentral:lncRNA from 1 species
UGCAGGGCUCACACUACUUCAGAAUUAUAGGGAGAAGUGACUUUUCUUUUUGAAACUGAUAGGGAGAAGUGGUGAGAUUUGAAAGAGAAGUGCUCAUUCGCGGGGUGCGCUACAAUGUUUGGAUUUUACAAUAGUAUAAAGGGCCAUAUGUAAAUAAUGUUCUUUUUAUGUUGUUCAAUUCAUAUGAGUAAAAAAUUACAAUUAAAGUAACAUUUGAAAUUAAAAGUUGUUUAAGUUUUACUAAGGUUCUUGUGAGAAAACUACCAACUAAAUAUCUAGCACUAAAAAAAAUAAUUUUAUUUUGAAAAAUGUAAAGAAAUUAUAUCAAUUACAAUUUAAUUAAAAAUUAUCUUGUGUAUGAAAUUCAGUGUUUCUCAUAAAAAAAAUAUAAAAGUUAUUAAGCUGGGCCAUAAUAUAUUGAUAUUAGUAUAAUAGUCUCAGAGUUAAGCAACUUUAAUCAAUAGUUUGAAACAUUCAUAAAAAAUAUAGGGAAUUAUAUACACCAAUCAAUUAGAUGUAACCAAAAGUCUCUUAAUGCGUGUGGGAUGCGUAAUUUUUCCCUUUGGGAUCAAUAUUCUUCUGUCAGCUGUUCCAUCCGUGCGUCCGUAGUAAUUAUUGUAAAAGUACGGAUUUCGGUCAUAGCUGGUCCGGUUCAGAUCCGUAGUUUAGAAAUCGGUCAAUGGCGGACGAAUGCAAGAAAAUUUACAAAAAUAAACGAUGUUUGACAAGUUAUUUGGAAAGGAACAUGACGGUUUUAAUGCAAUAAAUGGAUUAAACAUUUACUGGAGGCAACUUUUAUCACGUUUAAAUGAAGUAACAAACUUAUUUUGCCGCCGAAAUUUAGGUUGAUGUACGUUUUCGAGUAACAAGCACCGGAACUUGCGAAAAUGCACGAAGUGAUAAAAAGUUGUAUUUUUAUCAAAUAACCUGAUACACACUGCGAAGACAAUGCUUCAACCUCUUUUCUAAAGAAUGAAUAGUUUAUGUCUGAAUUUCUUUAAUUAUCAGUAAAAAAUUGAUGUUUCAUCAACUUGGUAAAAAUUGAAAAUGUCCGAUGACGGAAGCGACUGAAAGCGACUUUCGUCAGGAACAGGGCGACUUGUUUUCGCUUUUGGGGGUCGGGGAAAGCGAAGUGACGGUCGGGAGGGCGACUUCUUCGCCCAAGUCGCCUGGUAGCGUGAGCCCUGUUAAAUCUUGAAUCCACCUAGUGUCUUUGCAAAGGUGGCGUGUUUAAUUAUUUUUCAUUAACACAGAGAGAAUAAAGUGUUACCUAUGGAAUUUACUUUAGGCUGAGGCUGAAUCCUGUUAUCUUAUCUAAAGUAGCAUCACUAUGAUAGGGAUCACAUGUUUCUGUAUUAAUCUCUAUCAG